CAAGAAAAGAGUGUGACAUUACCAGACUAGUAUCACAUAAUUGAAGUAUAGAGACCAACACCAUUAUAAUGUAUUUAUGUCGUAUUUCAUAUUUGUUGCAUGAAUACAUUUUAAUCCAGAAUAGUGAAUCUAUUACUAUAUACCAUCUCUUUGUAUUAUUUAACAACAGUAAAUAAACAAAAAUGCAAAUUUGUUAACAUCAAAUAUUGGUAUAUAACGGGUAAUAUUUUGGUGAGAGAUAUCAUUCGAUUUUCAAUCGUCGUUCAAAACGGUUAAAGCAGUAUCCGUACUUUUUGCACGUUUAACGUACAACUCAAAAAAACCAACAAAAAUGUCUUCCAAAUUGUUUGUAUGUUUCGCUAUCUUCGCCUUGGCUGCCGUCGCCUUCGCUGCUGAACCAGCGCCAGCCAACAACCGUGCGAAAAAACACAUCAUCGCUUCAUCCUUAAUUGGUGCUUACCCACACUCGUACGGUUAUAACUACGGAUACGCCACUCCAUACAACUACGGAUACGCCACUCCAUACAGCUACGGAUACGCCACUCCAUACAGCUACGGAUACGCCACUCCAUACAGCUACGCUUCAUUCAACUCAUACCCUUACGGACACUCCGCUUACAAUCACGGCUACGGAUACGUUUACUAAAUUCGCCAUUCAAAGUUUCCUCCCCAAUCGAUCAAAUCCAAUGGACAAACCGAUAAAAUGACACAAUCCUAUGUAAUUUAAUAUUUUAUUUUUUUGUUUUUACCGUUGUUUUCUCUACGUUGAGUAAAAUAUAAAGUUUAUCACAAUAAAAA